rnacentral:rRNA from 1 species
AACCGUGUACGUACAAGCAGUGGGAGCCCCACCACUAAGCCAGUGGUGAACUCCACAUACGCAUCCUUUGCUGAGGAUACGGUUAACGGAGCGAAAGCGACGUUCAACCGCAAAAGAAGCAGAGGGGGCUUAGUGGUGGGGUGACUGCGUACCUUUUGUAUAAUGGGUCAGCGACUUAUAUUCUGUAGCAAGGUUAACCGAAUAGGGGAGCCGGAGGGAAACCGAGUCUUAAUUGGGCGUUAAGUUGCAGGGUAUAGACCCGAAACCCGGUGAUCUAGCCAUGGGCAGGUUGAAGGUUGGGUAACACUAACUGGAGGACCGAACCGACUAAUGUUGAAAAAUUAGCGGAUGACCUGUGGCUGGGGGUGAAAGGCCAAUCAAACCGGGAGAUAGCUGGUUCUCCCCGAAAGCUAUUUAGGUAGCGCCUCGUGAAUUCAUCUCCGGGGGUAGAGCACUGUUUCGGCUAGGGGGCCAUCCCGGCUUACCAACCCGAUGCAAACUGCGAAUACCGGAGAAUGUUAUCACGGGAGACACACGGCGGGUGCUAACGUCCGUCGUGAAGAGGGAAACAACCCAGACCGCCAGCUAAGGUCCCAAAGUCAUGGUUAAGUGGGAAACGAUGUGGGAAGGCCCAGACAGCCAGGAUGUUGGCUUAGAAGCAGCCAUCAUUUAAAGAAAGCGUAAUAGCUCACUGGUCGAGUCGGCCUGCGCGGAAGAUGUAACGGGGCUAAACCAUGCACCGAAGCUGCGGCAGCGACGUUUAUGCGUUGUUGGGUAGGGGAGCGUUCUGUAAGCCUGCGAAGGUGGCCUGUGAGGGUUGCUGGAGGUAUCAGAAGUGCGAAUGCUGACAUAAGUAACGAUAAAGCGGGUGAAAAGCCCGCUCGCCGGAAGACCAAGGGUUCCUGUCCAACGUUAAUCGGGGCAGG